CUAAGGGGAAAAACAUACAGAAGUCAGAGAGCCCACUGUUAAGAAAGGCCUCCCUUAUAAAAACAAAGCAAUACGAAGAAAUAGCUACAUAGGAAGAAACCACUAUACAAUUGUCCCAUAUUCUUUCACUUCUCUCUUGAAAAUGUUGAUCCAAGAUUGGGGGUGUAGCUCAGUGGUAGAGUGAUUGCUCAGCAUGCUUGAGGCCCUGGGUUCAGUCCCCAACACAGCAGAAAGUAUCCAAGUUUAAUCAAACCAUUUCUACUCUCGUUUGUAAGAGAUAAUUCAUUGUGUGUGAAAACAUUCCUGAUCAUUAUUAACCACUUAGAUAUUUGUCUCCUUUUACUUUUGGCAUGAUUAAACCAGACUGAGAAUCUUCACCAUCGUAUAUAUCCACACAAAAUUAGUAAUUAAAAAAUACCUAUGGGUAAAUGGCAGAAAGAUCAAUGGAAGGAAGGGAGUGGGG
rnacentral:lncRNA from 1 species